rnacentral:lncRNA from 12 species
UCUGACUGCGGGGUUCGGGUUCUUCGUGGUGUGGGUGGGCUGCUAUUUCCCCUCCCCUCCCGCAGGACCUGCUCAUCCUCCCUGGGUUCCCCUGCACUGGUCACUGGAAGCCCCACAAACAGCCUCCCACGAUCUGUAAGGACAGUAACAGAGGAUCCGAAGCGCGGAUCGUGAAAAAUGUAUCUCGCUCUCCCCUUGCUCUGCUCUAGGGUGAGCAGCUGUGCGGGUCGGCUCCUUGGGUCCAGGUUAGCUGUCGGCCGUCCACACCCCAGGGAGACAAGCCGAUGUCCGCGGAGGGCCGGGCAGACGGAGAACACACCUAGCUCGAAAUAUAUUUCUUUCUAUCCCGCGUAGGAAUGAACCAUCCCACGGAGACUCUGGGUGCGCUAGGCUGGUGCCCAGGAGCCUGGGGGUCCCAGGCACAGUCGAGGAGCCAGGACACGCUUCUGGGGCUGCAUGAAUUCAGUGCCCACUUAUCGUCAGAAGAAUCCCAGAAGAAACAGAAAUGAACAUUUGUGCAUUUUUUUCAUGUACUGAAAUUAUCUUUUUUUUUUUUUCUAGAGAAACAGCACUCCCACACCUAAAGGGAGGGAGCCAGAGACGGAGUGGUAUGUAAUGCAAAUCCAUUCUAAGAAGGUUGUGGGGGCCAUCUGGUGUCCAAUGCAGACAGGGCCGGCUGCGGGGAGGAAGCAGGACAAGGGACGGGCGGGAGAGGGGUGAGGGGGACGGAGUGGGCUCGUCUGGUCCACGUCAAAAACCAGCCCAUCCGGAGGAUGAGAGGGAGGGGGAUCACCUUCUGUUGCGGGAAGCAGAUCAAGGCAGAAAAGAGAGUGUCUCCGGGAGAGAAGGUGCCCUUCACCUUUGCACGGCUGAUCGCACGCUGGCUUUAAGGAUCGGAGCGGGUCCUUUAAGGUACGUUCUUGACAGAGAAGCUACAGUCACAACGAAGACUGAAAAACAAUGCAACGUCACUAUUCUAAGGAAUAGUUUUCCACCGAUCCUAUUUCCGCCAUUCCAUAUUUAUUUAUUUUUAUUUUUAAAGGUCGGUUUGAGGGAGAGGGAGAGCACGCUGCGCACAUGCACGCGGCAGGGAAGGGCAGAGGGAGAGGGAGGCGGAAUUUCGAGCAGACUCUGCACUGAGCACGGAGCCCCGUGCAGGGCUUGAUCCCACAAACCGCGAGGUCGUGACCGGAGCCGAAACCAGGAGUCGACCCUUCUCCGACUGUGCCAGCCCGGCACCCCCACAGGUUCCAUAUCCUACAAGAUACGCUGUCGCUGUUAGCAGAUCAGGACCCUCCCUGUCCCCCUCCACCACGCGCUCUCCGCAGCGUCUCUUCCCGGAACUUGGUCACCCAGGCCAGGCCACGUCGUCUUCACCAGCAUCCGUUGGGGGUGCCCAUUGUCAUCCCCAUCGUCACCGUCCUCCUCCUCCUCCUCCUCUCCGCUUCGCAGACAAGGAAGUUGAGGCUCAGAGACUUUCAACAACUUGACUGAGUUUAUGCAGAUACCAAGUGCCAGAGUCAGGCUUAAACCCAAACAUAUCUAAUG